AAUUUUGGACAAUGGGGGAAACCCUGAUCCAGCCAUCCCGCGUGUAUGAUGAAGGCCUUCGGGUUGUAAAGUACUUUUGGCAGAGAAGAAAAGGUAUCUCCUAAUACGAGAUACUGCUGACGGUAUCUGCAGAAUAAGCACCGGCUAACUACGUGCCAGCAGCCGCGGUAAUACGUAAGGUGCAAGCGUUAAUCGGAAUUACUGGGCGUAAAGGCUUUGUAAGGCGUUUGGAAAAAAAGAAGUUAAAUACCAGGGGUUAAACUUGGAAAUGGCAUUUUAACUGCCGAGCUAGAGUAUGUCAGAGGGGGGUAGAAUUCCACGUGUAGCAGUGAAAUGCGUAGAUAUGUGGAGGAAUACCGAUGGCGAAGGCAGCCCCCUGGGAUAAUACUGACACUGAGGUGCGAAAGCGUGGGGAGCAAAC
rnacentral:rRNA from 1 species